rnacentral:tRNA from 1 species
AGAUGCGGUGGCCUAAUGGUUAGUGCGCUGGACUCCGGACCGAGCGGUCCAGGUUUGAGCCCUGGCUGGGCUG